CCUCCGUUCCCUCCGUUCGGAAUUACUCGUCAAAAAAAUAAAUGUAUCUAGAUAUAUUUUAGUUGUAUAUACAUCUAUUUUUAUCUAUUUUUAUGGCAAGUAAUUUCGAACGGAAGAAGUACAAU
rnacentral:pre_miRNA from 1 species